CUUUGAAUCCGGAUUCACUCGCUUUAGUUACUGUAUGCAUCAGCUUCCUUGUUAAAGUCUCAACUCUUUUCUUUUUCCUUUCUUCUCUCGUGUGGGAGAAAAAGUGAUUUUCAUCAUUACAGACGAGGAUAGUUCUGAAUAUUCUGUUGAAAAUGAUUCCGGAGCUGAAGAAAGCCUCAGUGUGUGUGAGAUACAGAGGACAAGUGGAAACCAUCAUCAACAACAUGCAGAGAGCAGGACCUGAUGCCCUGCAGGUGAUCUCUGACUUCGACAUGACACUCACCAGGUUUGCUCACAAUGGGAUACGCUGCCCUACUACACACAGUGUUCUUUUCAGGAGCACACUUGUUAGUGAGGACUGUAAAUCGAAGCUAUCGGAUUUGGUGGCUCAUUAUUAUCGUAUUGAGAUCGACAGCUCAAUGUCGGUGGAGGAGAAAAUUCCCCACAUGGUGGAAUGGUGGACACGAGUUCAUGAUUUGAUCAUCCAACAACGAAUCAGGAAAGACCAGCUGGCUCAGGCUGUGAAGGAAUCGGGUGCCAUGUUGAGAGAGGGGUAUGGGUCUUUCUUUGACAUGCUGAACCAGAACUCGGUCCCUCUGCUGAUCUUCUCAGCCGGAGUUGGAGAUACUUUAGAGGGAGUGAUCACUGAACAUGGCGUCUUCCACCCGAACGUGCAAAUCUUUUCCAACUACAUGGACUACGACCAACACGGUGUGGUGUGUGCAUUUAAAGGCGAGUUGAUCCACGUAUUUAAUAAAAAAGAGGGAGCAUUACAGAACACACACCAGUUCGCACAUGAUCGCACCAAUGUGCUGCUGCUAGGGGAUUCACUGGGAGACCUGAACAUGGCUGAUGGAGUGCAGGACCUCCACAACAUCCUUCGCAUCGGCUACCUCAACGACAAGGUGACCCCUCCACAAGACGCCCACAGAUCCACCCCAAAAAACACACAAUUAUAUCAGAGUUUAUUUCUCAAAACCCAUAAUAUCAUGAAUAGUAUUAUCAUGCUUUUUAACUGUUCAUAUACAGUUGGGAAAAAGAAAUGGCACCCUCCUUUCUAUUCAAGUCUCUUUUUAUUUAUCGCCUCAGCAAUUGUGUGGUCCUCAUCAAUUUCUAUAAACAAAUAACCUCGGCUUAUCUGACAAAAAAAAAACACGCACACAACAGAUAUGUAGUAACUUUUUUUUUUUUUUUUUCCCACAAAAAUUAAACCAACAUUCAGAAACCAGAUAUGAAAAAAUAAGUACACCCUUCCAACUUCUACAAUCAUUAAGAGAGUAAUUAGCAGUCAGGUGUUACUAAUGAAAUUCACACAGUUUAGUUAAUCAGGAAGAGCUGACAAAAAGACAGGAGGCUGAACUGGAGGUAGCAGAGUUGAAGAUGUUCAGAUUUUCACUGGGUGUGACAAAGUUGAAUAAGAUUAGAAAUGAGUAUAUUAGAGGGACAGGACAUGUAGAAUGGCUUGGAGACCAAGUGAGUUUGAGAUGGUUUGGACAUGUACAGAGGAGAGAUCCAGGGUAUACUGGGAAAAGAAUGCUGGAGAUGGAGUUGCCAGGUAGAAGGAAAAGAGGAAGAGUAAAGAUGAGAUGUAUGGAUGUGGUGAAGGAGGACAUGAGGAUGGUUGGUCUGUCAGAAGACGGUACAGAGGACAAGAGGAGAUGGAGGGACGUUAUCCGCUGUGGUGACCCCUAAAGGCCUGGUCCCAUAAUAUCAAUAACUAUAAAUAAAUCAGUCCCCUGCAGUUUGUGGUUGUUGGUCAUACCAGACCAAUAAUUAUACCUAUAGCCCAGGCCUGGGUUUAUCUGUAUUGCUGAGAUUGCUUCUGGAGCGAUUUUUCCAGGCCUGGACCUGAUCCGAUAAAACAUCUGACCAAUCAGGUAAUUGUUUACAUUUGACGUUGUCUGACCAUUUGCUAUCUUCCCCAGGCAUCUUUGUACAUCCUUGUUGCAUCAUGAAGUCAUUGAACACGGAUUCACAGAAAAUAAAAAUUAAUACAAAGCACGAAUCUUUUAUUCAUGGAUGUGGUUUUCCAUGAAAUAUCAGUAGUAAAUUAAUAAACAUAUAAAAUCAGAAGAUAUUUAAAUUGUGAACUUCAGCAGUCCAAACAUUUGUUUUAGACUACUUAAUUUUUUAUCCAUGAUACAUCUUCCGUAUGAAAUCCAUAACCAAUCUGUAAUAUACUGAAAUGUCCAUGACCAAUCUGUAAAUUAUUAGCAUCCAUGAUGCAUCUGUAUUAAAAUCUGUAACCAUUCCGUACUUUAUCCUUUUUUUUUUUUUAUUAUAUUUCUGUAGUCCGUUAUCUAUCUAUAUUUUGUCAACCAUCGGAGUAUGUGCAUGGGUUGUUUGUUUUUUGAAGUCCAAGCUAUACAGUAUGACCUGGAAUAAUGUGCUUCCAUGACUAUUCCUAAGUUGCAUGCAUUUAUUUACCUGAGUGGCAGGACCAACCAGUAUUGUAGUCGGAAUUAUAAUUGUGGUGUGACUGCUUCAGACUGGAACUAGAUUCAGGCAGAGGUAUAGCCAUAGUUGUAGUUAUAGGCAGAGGUGGGACAAAGUCACUAAUGUGCAAGUCACAAGUAAGUCUCAAGUCCUACCACUCAAGUCCGAGUCAAGUCACAAGUCAAGGCACUUUUGACCAAGUCAAGUCCAAGUCCUACCCAAGCCAAGUCGAGUCCAAGUCUCAUUUUUUUCCAAGUCCCUAACAAGUCACCAUUUAUUCUACAGGCAAUCAACACAUUUUUGAUCACAAAUGUAUUACCUCUCUACACUGCAGUGUAUGUCCUCCUUUGCCAGUCACCUUGGAUAAAAAUGUCUGCUAAAUGUAAUGUAAUGUCAAUGAUUCAUAGAGGCAGCACAAGUAACUACAGUACACCCAUUCUUUUCCAUUUUAAAAUGUUUGAGCUUGUGCCCCAAGACAAUCAAAGAAUCUCAGAGGAGACAAUGAUUAGUUAGUUAACGUUAGUAAAGCAUCCUAAAUUUUCAGUGAGUUUAGUUUGAGUGAGUCAGUGUACAUCUGAGGCUAAGGGUGUGAGAAUGAGUGAAGGUAUGACCAUUUCCUUAAAUUUUUUAUUGGAAAAUUAGUGAGAAAUUAAAACAAAAUUCUAAACAAAACUAGUACUGGUACUGUGUAACAAAUCAUUUUCUUUUCAUUUCAUUCAUGUCAUUUUUCACAUAAAAAUGCUUUUCAUGUGCAUUUUAAGACAUGAAACUCAAAGUCCAAGCUAACAGAUGAUCUGUGUACUUUUAGAAUCAAAGAAUGGUUUUCCUUCUGAAGUUAGGCACUGUCCCAACAUACAACAUGACAUGCCUUUAACACAAUACAAUGUGACUUGAGUACGUUUGUGUGUGUGAGAGAGACCAACUAACUGACAAAAAAUUCCGGAAAUAUCUGUUCUCCACUACUGAGAGAGGGAUGUUGCAUCCAAUGACCAAAUCUGUUAGUACUGAAUUUGUGAUGGCUUUUUGUUGUGGGUGGGUAGCAUUGUACUGUCUAUGUUUUGCAGUAAGGAAUCCAGAAAUGGACGGCUGCUCUGUCUCACUUGGGAUGAUCUUGUUCUUCAGAUAUUCUGCAAAUCUAAACAAGGAAAAAAAAAUGUAAAAUUAGUAGGCCUACUUGUUUUCUGUUUUUAAUCAUGUAGACAUUAACAUGUUUUUAUCAUUUUCAAUAUCAAAGUCUGAGUUCAUUUAAUCUGAACAUAUUUGUUUAUACACAGUAUAAUGUUUAAUACAAGCCAGCCAGGAUGUUCCCUUAAGCAGUUUAGCUAGACCACAAUGCAUUCACUAAACACUCGCUAAAAUACCGGUAGCCUCAGUAAACACAGAACGUUGUGACGAUGUAGCCAGAAUCAGAGUCCUCUAGGGCUCUGGCCAGAAUGUGAGAAUGAAGCCCUGGCAACAUUCUAGAGAGCCGUAUAAUAAAGUAGAAUAAACAGUUGUUGUGAAUUUCAGAAUGUUCAGCGGAAUCCUCCAGAUCCAAGUUGCGUGCUUUUGGCGAAUUUGGUUUCUCGCCAGAGACUAAUAAAUGCACUGGUAAAGCCACGCUAUGCAGAGGCAUUGUGUGCCCUGUCGUUUGGGUAAAAGACUGUGGGAUAAUGCCUCGCGUCGGAGUAGGCUACACUCCAAUCUGUCGGGAUGUACUGCGCUAUAAAACGUCAGCUGAGCUUACAUUUUACAUAGCCCAAAUGGCCCAUUAUUCACAUUGCCUACAUGACACCAGAGAGAGGAAGAGAAUAGAAUUGAAUGUCUCUGAUGACGCGUAAUCCCAGCACUAAUAACACACAUCGCACAGCGUCCACGACUUGGUGCAGUACGUAGCAAACAGUUAAACGCCUGGUUUAACUUGCAUUGCUAGUCAUCUCGUCUCAGUGGUUUAAAUGCCUUCAUGACAAGCACUGACUUUCCCAUUGCAAAGAGCGAACUUCUGUUUUACAUACUUAGUUUGCAGCCUGGGUAACUGUUUAUUUGAUUUAAGUUUUAUCCUUUGCUGUCCGGUUCUUAUCAUAAGUCUGUGUCGUUCUGACCAGAGCCUUUAUAACAAUCUUGUAAAUGUUCUCUGCUCUGACCAAAUCACCACCUUCUGGCUAUGCCUUCCCAAUGUGUGUUAACUGGUAGCCUAGCCCACAUAAUCUAACACUAGACUGAACACAAAAGCAAUCCAAUAAAAAAAUCUACUUCACUAUUUUAUAUUCAGCAAAGCAAAACAAAUCCUUGACAGCGUUAAUACAUUAACACAUUCCACUUCUAGCCACCAACUAGCCUGUACAGAUUCUUGCUAGCUGGCUUUGUUACUUACUUGUCCUUAUGCAGCCUCAGGUGACGAGCGAAGUUUGAUGUGGUUGACUGGCUGUCCGAAAUUGUGGCUCCACAUGUUCUGCACGUAGCAAUGCGUUUGCCAUCUGUAUUGGAGUAUUCUUUAAAUCCAAAGGAAAUUACGCGGGGAAUCAUGUUUUUAUCUGUCCGUUCAUCAUUCAGCGUCCUCGUUGCCCAUCACCGUUUGGUUUUUCAUUUGAACCAGUUGAAGUGCUUGAGCAGGGCUGGAGUGGGCCCUGUUUUCACUCCGGGAGUUUAAUUCACAUUCAGGCCACUUUGAAAUGGAGGAAGAAUUUGAGUACAUUAAAAAAGAUAAAACAAAUAACUGUUCUUUCACAAUGCUUUUUAUUUGGUUUAAAUUCAGGUAGUGACAAUGUAUGUUGUUCGUCGUUCUCUGCAUUACUUUAGGGUUAAUAAAACUUCCAUUACGCGGUAGUUUAAUGACCACAAACGUAAUGCAGAGACCGACGAACGAUUUCAUCUAGUAUGAGACGGGGCUCCACUUAAAAUCGGAUGGUGUGUGGCCGCGUGUCUAAUCCGCAUAUACAUUUAUCUGUGUCACCAACAUGUCCCAAAGUUCCUUAGUGAAAAUAUUUGAAAACACAUCCAAAGGACAUGCAUCUUCAGAAAUCGGCAUCUUCGGCCUGGGUAUGGGAAUGAACUUUUCUGUCGGGGGCGAAAUCCAGCUGACCGCCACUCCAAAUAGCAAAGCAGCGAGUAUGGCUGAUUGUUUCGCGUUAUUUAAGACGAAUUACACAACACAUUUUUAGUCACAUAGUCUUAAAAUAACGAAAGCACCCAUCUCGCGUGCAUUUGAACCAAUGCUUGUGCAUUACAUGCCGCAUACGCCUCGAAAAUAAUGGCAAAUCAACAAUGCUGGGUACUCAGCAACUGGCAGAUAAAGCGUGAGGGCGCAUUAGGCAACUCAAAAAUGGUUAAAUGAAAUGUAGGCUAAAGCAAGUGUUCAAUUCUGCUUAGAAUAUUGGCAUACGCCUCUUCUAAGUUAUAUAUUUAACAACAAUUAUUUAACAUCAAAUAUGACUUCUAGGCCUAUGUGUUCAUAACCACAAUGUGCGCGCGCCUGUGGAAAUGCACGGUGUGACAGCGAGAUGAAAUAGGCUGGAUGAGGAAAUAACGCGCAACAGCACAUUUGGGACCUGUUCAUCUAAAACUGUUAAUAACUGGGAUGUAAAGCAAUGUCCGGUUCUUCUUAGAAUUAAGACAUGCACCACAUCUAUACCGUGUAAAUUGCGAGAUUUCACAUGACCUCAAAAAGCUGAAUUGACAUCGCAAACUAUCGACACAUUAUAGGCCUAGCAUAGACUGAUAAAAUCGACAAACAGGGUUAUCAUACUCCAUAUCUUUCGUAACCUACCAGCUGGUCUUGAGAACAUAUCUGUCAAUUUGGCACAUUUUGCUGCCACCUUUUUUAAGCUUCGCGCUUUCGGUUCCACCUGGCCUCUUCCUGCCCUCCAUCACUGACGCGCGCUGUUUCGCGCCAAUGUUGUUUAAGUUCCCCGCAAUACAGAGGAGGAGUCUUGGACCAAACCAACUGCAAUAGAGGGGAGGGGAGAAUUUCCUUAUUUGGUAGCGCCUAUUUAAUCUGCUGCGAUGCUGUCGGCGUCUGGGCUGCCAUGUGAAAAUGCAGAGUGCAGUUGAAUUGAUGAUUAAUGCAAGAGUAAGAUCAGUGACCAAAAUUAGUGAAAAUUAUUUUCCCCAUGCUCCAAGCAGGCCACCAUUGAUGGUUUGGGCUGGGGAUGGUCCCGGCUAAAUAUAGGGCCACCCCGGCAUUGUGCUUGAGUGACACCUAGUGCUAGUGGAUUGAGCUGCCGUAGCCUAGGACAAGGAGCUACACCGCAUUCAAAUAAUAACGAGUGUACUUGGAUUCAAAAUCGGGGGGGGGGGGGAAGAAUAUUUAUACCUGAUACGCCAAGUCAUUGCAAGCUAAAACUGUCAAGUCCAAGUCAAGUCUCGAGUCAACAGCGUGCAAGUCCGAGUCGAGUUGCAAGUCAUUCCUCAUCUAGGGAUUUCAAGUCUCAAGUCAUCAAAAUGAUGACUCGAGUCUGACUCGAGUCCAAGUCACAUGACUCGAGUCCACAUGUCUGGUUAUAGGUAUAGUUAUUGGUAUUGUAGGACUUGGUCUUAAUGGUAACAGCCAAAAGUUGUUGUUAAUCGUCAAGAAAUGUGACCGCACUCAGGUGUGUCUCUACAUCAUGCCAAGAAGAAAGGACACCAGUCUUGACUUCAGCGAAGUAGUUGUUGCUACUCUUCAAUCUGGGAAGGGUCAUAAGGCCAUCUCCAAAUAAAAGGCAUCCCAGCAAAUUCAGUCCAAGGUCAGACCAUUUAAUGCUUGGAGAUAUAAAGAAAGACACGAGCUACAUCAUGUGACCUGCAGGCCACUUAAGCCAGCGUUGUAGUCAAGUCACUAAACCUAGAGUCCGAGUCCAGUCUCAAAUCCCCAGUGUUCAAGUCCAAGUCAUUAAAGAAAAUUUCGAGUGGAGUCCAAGUCCAUUAUUGAUCCGAGUCAAGUCCAAGAACAAGACUCCAACCGCACCAUUUGAUGGUGGCAGUUGCCUUUAGGUGAAAGCAUCUCUGCUAGUGUGUUGGACUAACGUUGCUGCUUGACUGCCCCAUUUUAGUUAUUAGGCUAAAGAUAAAAAGCUUCAUCACUCAGCAAGCCCUGCCCACUAUCGACAGGGCAAAUAACAGAGAGGGUUAACACUAGCUAGGUCAUUGAUCAGCAAGCCCUGCCCACUAUCAACAAGGCAAUGAACAUAGUGUCGCUUAUCUGGGUGGAGUCUUGCCAAAUGAUGAUUAAAGUUCGAGGUUGUCCCUAUCGUCUCCUCGAUAGUUCUUCUACAUAUGGAACACAUAGCAGUGUAUUCCCCACCCCAUGCACGAGAAGUCUGUAUAAGCAAAGUGGACAAUCCUAGGGGUGUUCUGUCCAGGCAUUUAGCACCAUUAACGUUAAGUUUGUUCCUGAGCAUGACACAUGAACAGAUGAAUGUGCAUUCUCUUUGUCAGGGAAUGUGAAGUAUUCUGUCAGAGGUGGUUUGGAGAUGGAUGUACAGUACAUGCAGAAGAUGUUUAUUAAUACAAGUGAAGAGAGGUAAACAAUCCAGAAUGGCAGGCAAAAUCGUAAAACGGUGUAAUAGGUUGAGCGAGGCACAAACGGGCUAUUGUGGGCUAGGCAGAAUCAAAGUUGCAAAACAGGAAAAUAAAUAAGGCUCGGUAAUGUCAGCAAUGCAGCUCAAUACUUUGCAACACAAGUGUGCUUUCACAGUCUUUAUAUAGGCACGCUGAUUGCACCUUAAUUCUGUAUAGGUGCGAGUUGUUUACGGCAUGUGAGAGUUCACUUGGCGUGCGCACUGUCCAGAACACACCUGAGAGUCCAUCUAAUGCAUGCUCCAAGGCACGCAGGUUUGACAUUCUUGCAAUGAAAUUAGUACAAAAAUUAAUGUAGAUAUAAGUAUCUUGUGCUGAAUUAUUAUGGCAUAUUACAAAAAAUAGACACAAAUCAGAGUCCUCGUCUCCAAUUUAUGAGUCCGAAUGCAGUUAAUGUACGAGUUUGAGUCCAAUUCAUCAAUGCUCGAGUCCAAGUCCAGUCACAAGCCCUUAAAAUUAGGGUACAAGUUGGACUCGAGUACUACAAGUCUGCUAUAAGCACAUUAAAUGUUAACGUUCAUGAUGGCACAGUCAGAAAAACACUGAACAAGUAUGACUUUCACAGAAAGAUGGUUAGGAAAACGUCCCUUCUCUCCAAAAAGAAUAUAUAGCGUGACUUAGGUUUGUAAAAUUGCAUCUGAAGGGAAAAAGGGGGGGAAACAAGAUCUGGAACAAUAUCCUUUGGAUUGAUGAGAAUAAGUUGGAGAUGUUUGGUCAUCAUGCACAGCACCAUAUUUGGAGGAAAACCAAACACAGGAUAUCACCCCAAACGUCUCAAACUCUGAAGGGGUGAUGUUUAUGGUUUUGGGUUGUGCAGUCACAAGACCAAAGAAUCAUGCAGUCACUGAGACAAUGAUAAACUUUUCUUUAUAGCAGAAUAUUCUUGAAACAAAUCUGAGGUCCUCUGUCCAGCAGCUUUAGGUCAUACAACUGGACAAUGAUCCUAGGUACACUAGCAAAUUAGCAUCUGUGGCUAAAGAAGACAAACAAUGAAGGUGUUGGAAUGGCCAAAUCAAUAUUCACACCUCAAGCCCAUUGUGAUGCUGCAGCAGGAUUUUCAGGUCGAGGAGAGGAGAGAGGCGUUCGUCAGCUCUUAUGACAUCGUGCUGGAGAAGGACGAGACGCUAGACAUCCCAAAC